UAUAAUGCAAUAUGAUAAUGUGGUCAUAAUAAGACAUGAUAUGAUUCCAAAAUUUUGAAUCACUCUUUUAACUUCCAUGAGUCAUAAUCUCUUCAAAGAUGUUAUUUAGAGUCUGAAUUUUACACAAAUAAGCAAGAUUACCAUUGAGGAGAGGUUCUCGAAACGUAGUAAAAGAGGUUUAUUUCUACUUUUCAGUGAGAAAUGUGCCUUUUUUGGAAGGAAAACCUUCUAAAUUGGAUGAAGUUAACCCGAGGCGUCGCUUACUUACAUUUCCCUCACUUGCUGGUGUUAAAACAAAUCAAACUAUUCAGUUAAUACUUCAGGUAACCUAAUUUUUUUGUUCAGCUUUGCUUGAGUGAACAAGCCUCACUGUUAAUGUCACGCUGAAUACCUUUUAUCAGAAUCACUCCCUCUCUUUUUUCUCUUCUCUUCAGCUCUCAUGGCCAUGAUUGCACAUAUUCAUGGGGUUAUACCUUCCGUCAUUCAGCAUAAUUGCUUUGCUUGCCCUAGUUGUGAACUCACUUUGGCAUGCAAAGGAGCAUUCAGUCAUGAACAUGAAGCUGCAAGGAAAGACAUCCAACCUUCAGAAAGAGCUCCAGCUAAUAAAAUGUUCAAGUCACGGAUAAAUCCUCUUCUUUCAUGAAGCAAAAGUCUUGACUAACUUCAGCUGGCCAUACUUGACUGACUCACUCUUCCUCUGAAUUUUCUGCCUGAUGACUAAACAAAACAAUUGAAGAGAUGAAUGAUAAACUGAUG
rnacentral:lncRNA from 1 species